rnacentral:rRNA from 1 species
UACAGAGGAGCCAAGCGUUGUCCGGAUUGACUGGGCGUAAAGCGCACGCAGGCGGUUUGGCGCGUGGGGUGUGAAAUCUGGCCGCUUAACGGCCAGGCGCCAUCCCAUACGGCUAGACUGGAGUGAUGCAGAGGUCGGUGGAAUUGCCGGUGUAGUGGUGAAAUGCGUAGAUAUCGGGAGGAACACCAGUGGCGAAGGCGACUUCCUGGCCUGUUCUUGACGCUGAGGCGCGAAAGCGUGGGGAGCAAACAGG